rnacentral:tRNA from 1 species
GCCCCGAUGGGGUAGAGGAUAUCCUGAAGGCCUGCGGAGCCUUUGACCCGGGUUCGAGUCCCGGUCGGGGCA